CGAGGUUAAGUAUAACGGAGCCGAAGGGAAACCAAGUCUUAAUAGGGCGAUAUAGUCGUUUGGCGUAGACGCGAAACCUGGUGAUCUAAACCUGUCCAGGAUGAAGCUGUGGUAAGACACAGUGGAGGUCCUAACCCACCGCCGUUGAAAAGUUGGGGGAUGAGGUAGGUUUAGGGGUGAAAAGCCAAUCGAACCAGGAGAUAGCUCGUUCUCUCCGAAAUGCAUCUAGGUGCAGCCUUGAGUGUUCAAUUAUGGGGGUAGAGCACUGAAUGAUCUAGGGGGCAUAUUGCUUACUGAAAUCAAUCAAACUCCAAAUACCAUAAUUUAUAGCUCAGGAGUGAGACCAUGGGAGUUAACUUCCAUUGUCAAAAGGGAAACAACCCAGACCACCAGCUAAGGUCCCUAAUUAUAACUAAGUGGGAAAGGAGGUGGAGAUUCACAAACAACUAGGAGGUUGGCUUAGAAGCAGCCAUACCUUUAAAGAGUGCGUAAUAGCUCACUAGUCGAGAGUCUCUGCGCCGACAAUGUAACGGGGCUAAGUUAUAAACCGAAGCUGUGGAAUCCUUAUGGAUUGGUAGGAGAGCGUUCUGUAGGCUGUUGAAGAAGAAGGGUAACCAACUUUGGAGGUAUCAGAAGUGAGAAUGCAGGAAUAAGUAGCGAGAAAGGGGGCGAGAAUCCCCCUCGCCGGAAGACCAAGGUUUUCAGGGUAAAGCUUGUCUUCCCUGAGUAAGCCGGGACCUAAGCCCAGGCUAUAAUGCGUAGGCGAAUGGAAAACAGAUUAAUAUUUCUGUGCCAGUCAUUUAUUGUGAUGGAGGGACGCAGAAGGGUAUGUGCGCGGACGAUCGGUUGUGUCCGUAGAAGUAUGUAGGGUGACUUAGUAGGUAAAUCCAUUAAGUUAUAUCUGAGGUAUGAUAUACAGUCGUAAGAUGAAUGUACAAAUCCCACGCUGCCAAGAAAAACUUCUAACGUUAAUAUAUGACUGCCCGUACUGUAAACCGACACAGGUGGUCAGGAUGAGAAAUCUAAGGCGGACAGGCUAACUCUCGUUAAGGAACUCUGCAAAAUAACCUCGUAACUUCGGGAGAAGAGGAGCCCUUGUGUGUUAGUAUACAUGCGAUACAAAGCGCACGAGGGUCGCAGUGAAGAGGCUCAAGCAACUGUUUAACAAAAACACAGGUCUAUGCUAAGCUGUAAGGCGAUGUAUAUGGGCUGACACCUGCCCAGUGCUGGAAGGUUAAGAGGAGGAGUGAGAGCUCCGAAUUGAAGCCCCAGUGAACGGCGGCCGUAACUAUAACGGUCCUAAGGUAGCGAAAUUCCUUGUCGGGUAAGUUCCGACCUGCACGAAUGGUGUAAUGAUUUGAGCGCUGUCUUGACGGGAGGCCUGGUGAAAUUGUAUUACCGGUGAAGAUACCGGUUACCUACAGUAGGACGGAAAGACCCCAUGGAGCUUUACUGUAGCUUGGCAUUGGGUUUUGGCAUUGCAUGUAUAGGAUAGUUGGGAGACUGAGAUGAUAUGGCGCUAGCUGUAUCGGAGUCAUCGGUGGAAUACCAACCAUUCAAUGCUGAAAUUCUAAUCUGUGGUUUGAAGCCACGGAGACAGUGCUAGGUGGGCAGUUUGACUGGGGCGGUCGCCUCCGAAAGAGUAACGGAGGCGUUCAAAGGUUCUCUCAGGUUGGAUGGAAAUCAACCAUAGAGUGCAAUGGCAUAAGAGAGCUUGACUGCAAGACUGACGGGUCGAGCAGAUGCGAAAGCAGGACAUAGUGAUCCGGCGAUUCCGAAUGGAAGGGUCGUCGCUCAACGGAUAAAAGCUACCCUGGGGAUAACAGGCUGAUCCUACCCGAGAGUCCAUAUCGACGGUAGGGUUUGGCACCUCGAUGUCGGCUCAUCGCAUCCUGGGGCUGGAGAAGGUCCCAAGGGUUGGGCUGUUCGCCCAUUAAAGCGGUACGUGAGCUGGGUUCAGAACGUCGUGAGACAGUUCGGUCCCUAUCCACUGUAGGCGUUAGAAUAUUGAGAAGACCUGUCCUUAGUACGAGAGGACCGGGAUGGACAAACCUCUGAUGUACCAGUUGUCACGCCAGUGGCACAGCUGGGUAGUCACGUUUGGAAUAGAUAAUCGCUGAAAGCAUCUAAGCGAGAAACUAACUUCAAGAUAAGUAUUCUUUAAGAUACCUUUGAGACUAGGAGGUUGAUAGGUUGGAGGUGUAAGUACAGCAAUGUAUUUAGCUGACCAAUACUAAUUAUCAAAGUUUUAAUCUA
rnacentral:rRNA from 1 species